AAUGAAGUGCCUGAUUAAAGGAUUAUCUUGAUAGGAUAAAUAAAGUAAAAAUAUUUACCUUCGUUA
rnacentral:tRNA from 1 species